AGACAAAAUUCAAGAAGCACAAAAAGAACUACAGGUUCCUGAAGAUGCUCGGAAAAAUUUGAAAAUUCUGGAAGGCACAAAAAAAGAUUAUGUUCAAACAAGGCUGUCCAAAAUUGGAGAACCUCCUCGUGGGUCUGCUCCUGGGCCUGGCCAAGUUGGUUAUUAACAGGUCCAGGCAACGGUCUGUGCAGGGUGUCAUAUCUGCAGAUUGUCUGCCCUUCGUCCAUGGCUAUGUUCGUGCCUGGGUGCUCUUGGAGACGGACCAUGCAUUGUCCACCAAUGUUUUUGAUGCCUUUAGAAACAGAGAAGGAAACUGCCAUCCUUACCUGGUCUGGAUUACCAUGUGACUUCAUACCUACAACAACGUGGUUAACUCGUAACUGCCUUCUGGGAUGGGCAAUAAAUGCCGGCCAAGCCAGCGCCAUCCUCAUCCCAUGAAUGAAUAAAAAGUAUAAUUUGCCCUGUUAUAGGGUCAUGAAGGUUUACUGUAUGGAAUCAGGUCCUUUGGCCCAACUUGUCCAUGCUGUCUAUUUUUCACAAUUAAACUAGUCUCAUUUGCCCGCAUUUGGUCCAUAUCCCCCCAUAUCUAUCCCAUCCA